CACGUUCAUCUGGCACGAGUAAAAGUAGGUCAGACGGAAGUAGGCAGAUAAAAAUACAUCUCUUCAAAAAGAGAGGUUCGCAUCAAGCGUCCGCUUGUUGCAUUAAACAAUCUACCGAAGGAACGCAUU
rnacentral:ncRNA from 10 species